rnacentral:rRNA from 1 species
GACGAACGCUGGCGGCGUGCUUAACACAUGCAAGUCGAACGGAAAGACGAGGAGCUUGUGGGGUGCACGAGAGGCGAAGGGGUGAGUAAAACGCGAGUAAAAUGUACUUAAAUGUGGGGUAACACUAGGAAAAAGGGGCGAAUAUCGGAUAGGAUAUAUUGCAGCACAGGGGGGGAUGGUAAGAGUCGGCGGUUGGGGAUGGAAUAGAUGCUUAUCAGCUGGAUGGGGAGGUAGUGGAGUACCAAGGCUAUGAAGGGUAGCCGGCCUUAGAGGGUGACCGGCCACAUUGCGACUGCGAGACGGCGCAGAAUCCUACGUGAGGCAGUGGUCGGGAGUAUUGCACAAUGGGCGGAAGCCUGAUACGGCGACGCCGCGUGCGGGAUGACGUCUUUCUAGUUGUAAACCGCUUUGUCCUGUGCUGAACCGUGAUUGACGGUAAUUGGUCAGGAAGCCCCGGCUAACUACGUG